AACGAACGCUGGCGGCAGGCUUAACACAUGCAAGUCGAACGGGCACCUUCGGGUGUCAGUGGCAGACGGGUGAGUAACGCGUGGGAACGUACCCUUCGGUUCGGAAUAACCCAGGGAAACUUGGGCUAACACCGGAUACGUCCGCAAGGAGAAAGAUUUAUCGCCGAAGGAUCGGCCCGCGUCGGAUUAGCUAGUUGGUGGGGUAAUGGCCCACCAAGGCGACGAUCCGUAGCUGGUCUGAGAGGAUGANCAGCCACACUGGGACUGAGACACGGCCCAGACUCCUACGGGAGGCAGCAGUGGGGAAUAUUGGACAAUGGGCGAAAGCCUGAUCCAGCCAUGCCGCGUGAGUGAAGAAGGCCUUAGGGUUGUAAAGCUCUUUCAGCGGGAAGAUAAUGACGGUACCCGCAGAAGAGGUCCCGGCUAACUUCGUGCCAGCCCGCCGCAGUAAC
rnacentral:rRNA from 1 species